CAUACAUGCAGUCGAGCGGACAGAUGGGAGCUUGCUCCCUGAUGUUAGCGGCGGACGGGUGAGUAACACGUGGGUAACCUGCCUGUAAGACUGGGAUAACUCCGGGAAACCGGGGCUAAUACCGGAUGGUUGUUUGAACCGCAUGGUUCAGACAUAAAAGGUGGCUUCGGCUACCACUUACAGAUGGACCCGCGGCGCAUUAGCUAGUUGGUGAGGUAACGGCUCACCAAGGCGACGAUGCGUAGCCGACCUGAGAGGGUGAUCGGCCACACUGGGACUGAGACACGGCCCAGACUCCUACGGGAGGCAGCAGUAGGGAAUCUUCCGCAAUGGACGAAAGUCUGACGGAGCAACGCCGCGUGAGUGAUGAAGGUUUUCGGAUCGUAAAGCUCUGUUGUUAGGGAAGAACAAGUGCCGUUCAAAUAGGGCGGCACCUUGACGGUACCUAACCAGAAAGCCACGGCUAACUACGUGCCAGCAGCCGCGGUAAUACGUAGGUGGCAAGCGUUGUCCGGAAUUAUUGGGCGUAAAGGGCUCGCAGGCGGUUUCUUAAGUCUGAUGUGAAAGCCCCCGGCUCAACCGGGGAGGGUCAUUGGAAACUGGGGAACUUGAGUGCAGAAGAGGAGAGUGGAAUUCCACGUGUAGCGGUGAAAUGCGUAGAGAUGUGGAGGAACACCAGUGGCGAAGGCGACUCUCUGGUCUGUAACUGACGCUGAGGAGCGAAAGCGUGGGGAGCGAACAGGAUUAGAUACCCUGGUAGUCCACGCCGUAAACGAUGAGUGCUAAGUGAUUGGGGGUUUCCGCCCCUUAGUGCUGCAGCUAACGCAUUAAGCACUCCGCCUGGGGAGUACGGUCGCAAGACUGAAACUCAAAGGAAUUGACGGGGGCCCGCACAAGCGGUGGAGCAUGUGGUUUAAUUCGAAGCAACGCGAAGAACCUUACCAGGUCUUGACAUCCUCUGACAAUCCUAGAGAUAGGACGUCCCCUUCGGGGGCAGAGUGACAGGUGGUGCAUGGUUGUCGUCAGCUCGUGUCGUGAGAUGUUGGGUUAAGUCCCGCAACGAGCGCAACCCUUGAUCUUAGUUGCCAGCAUUCAGUUGGGCACUCUAAGGUGACUGCCGGUGACAAACCGGAGGAAGGUGGGGAUGACGUCAAAUCAUCAUGCCCCUUAUGACCUGGGCUACACACGUGCUACAAUGGACAGAACAAAGGGCAGCGAAACCGCGAGGUUAAGCCAAUCCCACAAAUCUGUUCUCAGUUCGGAUCGCAGUCUGCAACUCGACUGCGUGAAGCUGGAAUCGCUAGUAAUCGCGGAUCAGCAUGCCGC
rnacentral:rRNA from 1 species